rnacentral:lncRNA from 1 species
GAAGAGCUGAAGAAGGGAUGAGUGGGUGCAGGUAAGACAGAACAGCAGAAGUGGAGAGAAGCUGAAGAGGAGAAGUAUGAAUAGUAGAGCAAAAGUAGAGGAGGUGGAAAGAGAGGAAAGAGGCAAGAGAGAAGAGAGGAAGAGCAGAGAAAGAACAGAGCAGUAGAGAAGAGCGGACAGUGCUGUGAAAAAAAGAACAGUGCCAGAGAGCAGGUGAAGAAGAACGAAGAGCAGAAGAGGAAUGAAGAAGAGGUGUGAGGGCACAAGGAAGAAAGAUCAGAAGAGGAGAGGAGUGCAGUAAGAAGAAGGAGGAGAGAAGAUACGGGAAAAAGAACAGCAGAAGGGUGCAGAUGCAGAAGAGAGAUGACACAGGGAACAACAAGGAGCAGAAGAGGAGAGCAGUCAGAAGAAAGACAAGUGAGAAUACAGGGAACAAAGCAAAGCAGAGAGGAGUGCAGAGGCAGAAGAGGAGAGAGGAUACAGAGAAGAAAGAACGGUGGAAGAGGUGUGCAGAUGCAGAAUAAAGA